GCAAACUUGGUCAUUUAGAGGAAGUAAAAGUCGUAACAAGGUUUCCGUAGGUGAACCUGCGGAAGGAUCAUUAACAAAUCCAAGUUGGGUCCUGUGGGAUCGGUUGGCUGGUGCAACGCCAGCCGCAACAACCAUUGAUGCCAGUGUGAUGCAUGUGUGUUCCGAGUCAUCUGCGCGUUGCUGGUGCGUGCACACAGCUGCCGGUGGCAGAGAGUGUGCGGCAGCAGCGACAGCAGCAACAACAAACAGACUUUUAACAAUGGAUCUCUUGGCUCUUGCAUCGAUGAAGAACGCAGC
rnacentral:misc_RNA from 1 species